UUAUGAGCUUAGCGGUAAUGAGCAGGGGCUCAUAACCAGAAGGUCGCCGGUUCGAUUCCGGCCGUAUAAA